rnacentral:rRNA from 1 species
UACGUAGGGCGCAAGCGUUGUCCGGAAUUAUUGGGCGUAAAGAGCUCGUAGGCGGCUUGUCACGUCGGGUGUGAAAGCCCGGGGCUUAACCCCGGGUCUGCAUUCGAUACGGGCAGGCUAGAGUGUGGUAGGGGAGAUCGAAUUCCUGGUGUAGCGGUGAAAUGCGCAGAUAUCAGGAGGAACACCGGUGGCGAAGGCGGAUCUCUGGGCCAUUACUGACGCUGAGGAGCGAAAGCGUGGGGAGCGAAUAGG